AUUCUCUUUCCCAAAGAUACCAUAAGACUUCUAGAGCUCUAAAUGUCCAGUUGGGGGACCUGGAAACUCUGAAAGCCAAGCUUCAACUGCAAGAAAAAACAUGGAGGAAUUUGUGCAAGAUGUGAAAGACUGGGCAGAUGGAGAAACAAACCACCAAGACACGACACAGGCUUUGUGUCAGAAGAUUGAGGCCCUCACAUCAAGUAUAAAAACAAGAUCUCAACGCCUCUACAAAACAAAUGACAGCAACAAAUGUCGACACAGAAUUAGACGGAAAAUAAGGCAAGAAAAGACCACUUUGCAGACCAUGCUAGCCAAGUACAACAGCCUUGUAACACCCGAGCAAGCAGUUUGCAUGGAUCAUAUUCUGGACACAGAACAUCCCUGGCCUUGGCAAAUAACACAAGAAGGUACGCAUAAUAUGUAUUCUGUUCGUGCUAUAGUAUCUAUAAAGUAAGGAAUCACUGUCUGUGUCUGUUCUUUGCUUUUCUCAACAACCAACUCAUCCCAAUAACGAGGUGGGUUAUUGCUAUGUCAAGUUAUUUGGAUGUGAAAUGUUAAAGAUUUCAUUAAAAGACAUUAACCUCUCCAAAAUGGUGUUUGACUCUGGAAGCUGUGUGCCUGCAAGCGAGAAAGCAUUUUUUUCUACAGGCACCACAGUA